UUUACGUUUAACAUAUACAACUAACCAACUUAAUUAUGUCAACAACAACAACCAAAAAUCAAAACUUUCAACAACGGAUCUCUUGGUUCUCGCAUCGAUGAAGAACGCAGCGAAAUGCGAUAAGUAAUAUGAAUUGCAGAUUUUCGUGAAUCAUCGAAUCUUUGAACGCACAUUGCACCUUGUGGUAUUCCACAAGGUAUGCCUGUUUGAGCGUCAUUUCUCCCUCAACCCCCGCGGGUUGGCGUUGAAUGGCACGAGCUCCUAGUCAGUCCAUUCGAAAAGUAUUUUUCUUGUGUUGUUAUUUUCUAAUUUAGUAGUGACAACCACACUAAAAACACAUUUUCCUCAAAUCAGGUAGGACUACCCGCUGAACUUAAGCAUAUCAAUAAGCGGAGGAAA
rnacentral:rRNA from 1 species